rnacentral:rRNA from 1 species
UCCCCUGUUUAACAAAAACAUGUCCUUUUGGUAUUUAUUUAAGGUCUAACCUGCCCAAUGAUUUUUCAAUGGCCGCGGUAAUUUGACCGUGCAAAGGUAGCAUAAUCACUUGUCUCUUAAUUGGAGGCUAGAAUGAAUGGUUGGACGAGAUAUAUACUUUCUUUUUUGUAUUAUAUUGAAUUUAAUUUUUGAGUCAGAAAGCUUAAAUUUUUUUAUAGGACGAGAAGACCCUGUAGAAUUUUAUAUUGAAUUAAUUUUAGUGUUUUUUGUUUAUUAUUGGCUCUUUCUUUAUUUUAGUAUUUUGUUGGGGCGACAGGAAGAUUUAUUUAACUCUUUUUUUUUUAUUCAUUGAUUUAUGUUUUAUUUUUGAUCCUUUAUUAAAGAUUAAAAGAUUAAAUUACCUCAGGGAUAACAGCGUAAUCCUUUUGGAGAGUUCUUAUCGAUAAAAGGGUUUGCGACCUCGAUGUUGGAUUAAAA